UGCCAUUAAAAUAUCAAAAGAUCAAGAAAGGGUACAAGAAUAUGAUGGAAUAUAUAUAUAGCAGCUGAAAUAUCAUGGCACUUAAUUAACGUACGCAGCCAUUGAAUAAUCUACAAGUUAAAAGAUGAUAACCUGACAUCAAAAUUCAGAGAAUAUAUUAGGAAAGAAGAGAGAAUUAAUACAUUACAAAAUCAAGAAAGAGCAGAAGGAAACAAUAAUAGCCUGCCAAAACUUAUUCUCAUCAGCAGCAAAUGGUGCAUUUAAUCAAUCCAUUUUCGUUGCACUCAGGGCAUCUAAUAAUAUGCACUUGAUCAUUCUCCCCAUCAUUGAGGACCUUGCGACUUCCAUUGCAAUUGAAGCAAACUACAAACCUUUUGUUGCCACAGCCAGCACAAGGGCUAUUAGACAGGACUUUUGGUAUCCCUUCCAAGAGCUUCUUUAGCUUCCCUAGCUCGUGCAAGCUAACCACGUCAUCAGCUCCCCCUAUGUAUCUUCCCUUGAUGAAAAGCCUUGGAGGGAUCACUCUCCCACCUAAUAUCUUCCAUAGUUCUUCCCUAUAUUCCAAGUGCAUCGAAACAUCCCUCUCGCAGAACUCAACUUUGAAACUUUCCAGCAAAAACAGAACUGUGUGGCAGUCCUCAAAUGUCUUUCUUAUACUUCUUAAACUUGUUGUGUACAGAAUUACAGACUCGCUUCCUUCAGGAGGACAUUUCUCUUCAAAAUGUGAAAGAGAUGGAUAUUCUUCAGCACCCAUCUCAGCUUCAUUAGCAUUAUCAUACUCCAUGGUGAUCUCUGAGGAGACUGGAGACUCCAAAUUAUCUAUGGCGCGCACUUUGUCAUCGAACACUGUAAAGGGUGUAAUUUUCUCCUUGUCGCGAAAGUGGAGCUCCAAAUCAUCAGAUUCUUCAUCUUUUAGUUCUGUGAAAUUUUCCGAUACACCAAUGUUGCACGUUAUAGCUUGUGGGAGAUUGUUUAUCUUGUGAUCUUCUUGUAUGUAAACUGGUGGAAUUUGUACUUUCUGAUUGGAGAACUUGUCUGUGGAGCCCAGGUGAGAAACCAGACCAUGUUUGAGUGUGUGUAUAGAUGGAAUGAGCCUCAAUUUCUUCAGGAAUCUUCCCUUCAUUGAUUUCAUGUCUUGUGUUUGCCUACUCAAAAAACUGGAUGGCAUGUGAUCAGAAGCAGCAUUUGAUCAAGGGAAGAAAUUAGUAGAGGAAAUGAGCAGGUUAAGGGGGUUUCUCUAUCGGUUUCCAAUGGCUGAGAAGUGAAAGACUGAAAAAGCUCCCUGUUGGUUGCUUUUUAAAGUUAUGAAUUGAUCACAUCAUCGAUUUUUUUUUGGGGGGUGG
rnacentral:misc_RNA from 1 species